GUGGGGAGUGGGAUCUAGUGGCCACCUGUGGCUCACCCAUGCAGCUUUGCUGAGGCCACAGACCUAACACUGAGGAUAUGCGGUCAUGAAGCUCAUUUCUACAAGUUUUAUUUUCUCUAGACAACGUGUGUGUUAUCCACUGCAAUACUGCCUGGAGUUAACCUAUCUAAAAGUGCAAUAAUGGGUCCAAGGAAGAUCAAAGUCAAUUUACGUCUGAAUUCUGCAUCCUCCUUCACUUAUAAAUAUGACAGGGAUGGUCCAGAGGAGGGCCAUUAAGAUGAUCACUAAGAUGAUCAGAGGGCUGGAGCACCUCUCCUAUGAGGAAAGGUUGAGGAAACUGGGCUUGUUUAGCUUGGAGAAGAGAAGGCUCUGUGGGGAGACCUUAUUGUGGCCUUCCAGUACUUGAAGGGAGCGUAUAAACAGGAGCGGGAAUGGUUGUUUAUGAGGGUGGAUAGUGAUAGGACAAGGGGAAAUGGUCUUAAACUGAGACAGGGGAGGUUUAGGUUGGAUAUUAGGAGGAAGUUUUUCACCCAGAGGGUGGUGACGCACUGAACAGGUUGCCCAAGGAGGCUGUGGAUGCCCCAUCCCUGCAGGCAUUCAAGGCCAGGCUGGAUGUGGCUCUGGGCAGCCUGGUCUGGUGGUUGGUGACCCUGCACAUAGCAGGGGGUUGGAACUCAAUGAGCAUUGUGGUCCUUUUCAGCCCAGGCCAUUCUACGAUUCUAUGAUUGUAUGACAUCAUAUGGGUAGCCUAACAUGGUUUCAGGGCCCCUUCCCACGCACUCCAUCUUGGAUGUGCCUGACUCAGGAAGCAGAGUUACAAACAGAGGAGAUGUUAUAAAUAAUCCUGAGUACAACAUGUUCAUUUUUCAGGUUGUUCAGUCUGCUUCUCGAUGGAAAAUUCCUCUAUGUGGAUAAAAUGCCAUCAGCCUCUCCAGGGCUGGUACAAGCAGAGGCACCUCAGUACAUGAAGAUUACUAAGGGAUAGGCUGCCAAUAUUUUCAGUUGUUUUUGUUGUUGUUGUUUUUCCUUUUUUUUUUUUUAAACUCCAUUUUCUUCUUGUUUUAGACAAUUCCAUUUCAGUCUGUCUCUUGAGCACUGUCUCAUUUUACAUCUGUUUUCCCUUUGCAUAUUUUCCCUUCUCCUCAUGUUUACUUUUGUAAGCAGUCUGUUGUUUUUAUUCAAUUCCCCCUGGUUUUCUUUGGGUUUUUUCAGUUUUUUCUAAUCUUCUCUACAGCUCUUCCAUUCUCCCUUCUUACCUUCCAUCCCAGAG
rnacentral:lncRNA from 1 species